UGGGCACCUAGAGUGGCGGGAGCAGGGCUCCUAGGCAUUCCCGAGGUGGUGGGUAGAUGGCUGGGGUGGGCGCCAGAGCCAACCCCCUCCCCCCCCCAGCCUCCCACGGUGCCAGUGCCUAUGGGAGUAAUUAGCGCUAAUGACAGGACUGGGGACUCUGUUAUCAUAUAUACACUCACCUCGCACUGGGGCACAACCGAGGCAGGCCAGGAGGGGGUCGGCAGAUGAAGGGCGAGGCCCGAGGUGGGGAGGGCAGAGCAGGGCAGGGAGGGGUGGUGGUCCAGCCCCCUACAGACCCCAAGGGGACCCUGGUCUGCCUCGAAAUGCUCCCCAGCCAUGUGGGGUCAUGUGGGUGGGUGUGGGCUGGACAGCGUCCCCCUGGCAGCGUCCCCCUGGCAGCGUCCCCCUGUCGGGGUGUCAUGGGGUCGGUGCUGCCAGGCCCUCUCUGGUGUGGUGUCCUCGGGGCAGCCCUCCCUCUCCCCCGCCCGGGCAGCCCCCACGCCGGGAGUGCCUGAGACUGCCAGGUGCUGCCCCUGGCACCGUGGGGCUCCUCCUGGAUCCCAGAAUCCUCGGGGGCAGGAGCCCCCAGGCACUUCCCUCUCAACUGCCACUCUCUCCUCCCUCACCCAGAGAGCUUCCUUCUCUCCUCCCACGUCUCAGGAAAGGGGAAACAGGGCUUCCCCAGUGGCCUCGGGGCCCACAGACUGGGCCAGAAUUUUCUUCCCGUCAGUGCCGUUCUGACACAAGUUUCAGCUUUUUAUUUAGAAACUCAAAACCUGAGCCUUCCCUUCUGUGGGCACAGCCACAUCCCGAAGGCAGUGAGCCUGAGCGCUCCGGGCUGGAGAAAGCCGGGAGUGGGAGCUGACCAUGAAGUGGGUGUAAGCACAGCCAGGGGGAACACGUGCGCCCUGCAGAGCCCCACAUGCGUCGAGCUUCCCCGAUGAGGGGGCCAUCAAAAGUCUUCGGGGAGCCAGAGACCCAGGACUGCCCAUCAGCAUCACCAGCCCAGCCCGGGCCAGUGCCUGGCCCACAGCAGGCGCUCCCCGGGCAGCUGCGGACUGACUGACUGCUGUACGCACCCAGCACGUGGUAAUACCCAGCUCAACCAGUGAGAAGUGAGCCAGCGGGAUUGCUUUAGCAAUUCGGGGUCUUUUGUUGCCUCCCAGGGGCAUCUUCAUCUUCAUAGAGAACCCUUGGAAAUCUUCCAGAUGCGAAUGAAUGGACUGAUAAUGGUAGAUUGGAGGCCCAGUGACUAGCUUGUGUGUGUGUGUGAACUGCCACCUACCAGCUGUGCAACCUUGGGUGAGUCCCUCCACCUCUCUGAGCUCAGUGUGUUCAUCCACGAUGUGGAGGCUGCUGUCCCAGGCACAGCUGCAGCAACGGCCGGUGUGUUGGGGCGGCCGGGAUAUCGAGUGCGGAUGAACUUCGGCAGCAGGAGGGUGUCUGCGGAGAGACAAGCCAACAUCUGCAUCGGAAAGCAAAUAGACGCACACGUUUCCCUCCGUUUAACCCAUUAAAGGCCGGCAUUCCAUCACCUGGGUCUUGUGAUUUUUUUCCCACUUAAAUCUGUUUUAUACGGGAGGCCACUACUAAGGCUCAGAGAGGUUAAGACACUCGAU
ensembl:lncRNA